UGCCAAGCAGCCGCGGUAAUUCCAGCUCCAAUAGCGUAUAUUAAAGUUGUUGUGGUUAAAAAGCUCGUAGUUGGAUCUCGGCGGACUGAGGGCGGUUUGCUUGCUAGUAUUACUGCCCUAUAGUCCGUAGUUUUGCCAGAGGUUUCGGGGUGCUCUUAAUCGAGUGUCCCGGGAUGCUGGCAGGUUUACUUUGAAAAAAUUAGAGUGCUCAAAGCAGGCUAUUACGCCUGAAUAUUCGUGCAUGGAAUAAUAGAAUAGGAAGUCGUUUCUAUUUUGUUGGUUUUCGGAAAUCGACUUAAUGAUUAAUAGGGACAGUCGGGGGCAUUUGUAUUCAAACGACAGAGGUGAAAUUCUUGGACCGUUUGAAGACAAACUACUGCGAAAGCAUUUGCCAAGAAUGUUUUCAUUAAUCAAGAACGAAAGUUAAAGGUUCGAAGGCGAUUAGAUACCGCCCUAGUUUUAACCAUAAACGAUGCCAGCUAGCGAUCUGCGGACGUUUUUUUUGUAGACUCCGCAGGAGGCUUCCGGGAAACCAAAGCAUUUGGGUUCCAGGGGAAGUAUGGUUGCAAAGCUGAAACUUAAAGGAAUUGACGGAAGGGCACCACCAGGAGUGGAGCCUGUGGCUUAAUUUGACUCAACACGGGAAAUCUCACCAGGCCCGGACACUGGAAGGAUUGACAGAUUGAUAGCUCUUUCUUGAUUCGGUGGGUGGUGGUGCAUGGCCGUUCUUAGUUGGUGGAGUGAUUUGUCUGGUUAAUUCCGAUAACGAACGAGACUCUGUCCUGCUAAAUAGUGUCUGCUUCUCUUUUGAGCAGACAAUUCUUCUUAGAGGGACUGGCGACUCUUAGUCGCACGAGAUUGAGCAAUAACAGGUCUG
rnacentral:rRNA from 1 species